GGCUUAACACACACCCCCUCCACGCGCUUACGCUCGCGUCGAAGAACAAACAAAAACAAAGAUUAAAAAAAUGAACAAAGAAAAAACCGGCCUUUUUAGGAACCUUGCGUCCUCCGUGGAACAUUCACGCUCUCUUCCAGUCUCUUUCUCCCACCUAUAUAAACAGUGUGUUAUAUUAUAAAUCUCCUCUCACUCUCUUCAACCUCAAAUAUUACUCCAAUUCUCCCUCUCUCAUUGGAUCUAGGGUUCUGGGUUUUUUCAACUUAGUCAAUUGGUCAGCAAAUCAAGCGGCUGUGGUUGCUCCUCUGCUACAAAUCUCUUUUCCAACGCAAUGCCUCGCACAUCUAAGCGAAAAUCGGCCCCACCCAAUUCCUCAUCCGUCACAUCACCCGAGGGUCGUUCUGUCUCAAUUAAAGCUAAAACAAAAGGGAUGGAAAAAAUAGAUCGCUUAUUCAAUUCAUAUGCAAAUAAUUCAUUAGGCAUGAUUGAUCCAGAUGGUAUUGAAGCACUCUGUUCAGAUCUAGGAGUGGACUACACUGAUGUGAGGAUAUUGAUGCUUGCAUGGAAAUUAAAAGCUGAAAGGCAGGGCUAUUUUACCCAGGAUGAGUGGCGAACUGGCCUGAAAGCAUUGGGGGUUGAUUCACUUAGCAAACUAAAAAAGGCACUUCCUGAACUGGAGAAUGAGGUGGGGAAGUCAUCGAAUUAUGAAGAUUUUUAUUCCUAUGCAUUUAGAUACUGCCUGACAGAGGAGAAGCAAAAGAGUGUGGACAUUGAAAGCAUUUGUGAAUUGUUGAAUCUUGUUCUAGGGGCCCAAUUUCAUCCUCAGGUUGAUUUACUAAUUGAGUAUCUAAAGGUCCAGAGUGAUUACAAAGUAAUAAAUUUGGACCAGUGGAUGAAUUUUCUACGUUUUUGCAAAGAGCAGAUUAGUUUUCCAGAUCUUGAAAAUUAUGAUGCAUCCCAAGCUUGGCCCUUGAUUCUCGAUAAUUUUGUCGAAUGGAUGAGAGAAAAGCAUAGCUAGUGUUGGCAUCUUGUUUGUGUCUCACAGAUUGCUGAUCUCAUAAGGACCUUGUGGAAACCCUAAUUGGUAACAUGGAGAUGGCUCAUAAGUGAUUAAACUAAUUUUGCUGAACCUUUUCUCGGGCUAAAACUACAAUUUUGUUGUCCAGGGAUGGUUUAUACAUUCUGCAUUCAUUAAUGUUAAGGUUUCUUCUUUUUUUUUCCCCGCUUAAAGCUAUUUUAAGCGUUAACAAUUGUGUUACUCAACGAAGGAUAAUUCUAUAAAUAUAGCAUUAAAGUUUCAUUCUGGAUUGCGAUGCUAUUAUCUACUCGUCUUUAAAAGCAUAAGUAAGAGCUUCUGCUUUAGAUAACUCCAGUGGCAAAUGAUAGUCCCCAUCAAGAGAAUCACUGCAGCAAUUGUAACCAGAGCAAUCACCAAUACCUGCUGCUUCUCCGGCUGCCUGGUGCCUAUUACAUAAGCUGUAAACAUUGUUCAUUAGGUUAAUUACAGUGCAAUGUUUUGAAGAUUGGUACUGCACCGUGCUCAACUACCUGAAAGGCUUAAAGUCGAUUAGGGUAUCUCUGGGGAAAUUAGAAAAGUGACAGCUUACCACUUGAGAAAGCCCCAAAAGCCAGAAUAUACCAAAAAAGGGAAAAUUGAUGUUAGUUGACAGAUUAUUUCAAGUCUAUAUUUAAAAAUUCAGUCUUGUCAAGGAAUUGAAUAAACAAGAAAGAAAAAUGAAAUGAUAUGAUGUUCCCUUUCCUUUUCUUUGUUAGAAAUCAUGCUACAAGUAUAAAGAUAAAUACUAGCUGACAGGAUCAAGUGCCUCAAAAGCCAUAUUGUUUUUAUUUAGAAGUGAAAAAAGUACAUUUUUCACUAUUUGAACCCAAAUUAUUGGUUCUAAUUAUGGUGUUGUUCAACCACAGGUAUAACCAAAUUAAGCUGUCUUUUAUUGUCAUUGUUGGUUUGACCUCUUUUGGUUUAUCAAGUUGGACGAACAGAAGCAUCUAUAUUUUGCAGUGUGGAAAGACCAUAGUCCUUGGAGGAGAAAAGAGACUUGAACAAAGUUUAUUAAUGAAUUUUUUCUUGCUAAGGCUAAACUCUCACCGAGCAACCGUUUCUGAAAUUUUAGAAUCAUCAACUGAACAUAUUUCUAACUGCAAUUCAGAUCUCUUUUCCUCAUCGUCCUUUCUUUUUGUCGAGAAAGCAGGCCUCUUUGGAGCCGCCAUUAAUGUGCUUUCAUUUCUCAGCAUUGAAGAGACAUCUAACAUGCAGUAGGCCUGUCAUUUGCAUUUUCACGGACACAGCAGUGCUAUCUGCAUGCAUGACAUCUCAAUAACUUAUAGGAUGAAGUUGUGUCAUCCAGUGAGGUCCAUGAAUUCCAUGCCUUUUCCCUCUGUCCACAGCUCAAAUUCCUGAGUAACCCCCACAAUGAUUUCGACACGUUUUCUCCAAUCCAACAUAGACCUGUUAAGGGGGUCUGCAUAACAGGGUCUGCGUCUGAUCAGUAGAUUUUGAGCAGUCAGUUAAACAUAAACCCAAGUAAAUAACCAAAAAGAAAUCACAUAAAUUUCAAUGGAAAUCAUCACCAAACCCCCUUGCUGGUUUAACUUCUCAGGGUCCUGUUGACUUCAUAUCAUUUUGCUCAUGCUCCCUCAAGAAAUCUAUUCUUGAGAGAAAGUGUGAUGAAAGGAAAGAAAACAAGCAGAAAAUGGGCCCAUCAUGUUCCAACUUUUCGACUGUUUCACUAAUUUUCCGAUACAUCCAAUCUCUUUUCGAGCCAAAUAUUCAGAUCUAAGGUUGACCCAUGCUUUAUAUUUUAAGUGCAUUGCUUAGGUAUUGUUACAUGAAUCCAGUAGUUUUAUGUGGCAAAUGGCUUUGGUCCAACGAGGAAACCUCACCUCUUGCUUCUGGAUCUAGGGUGAGCUGAGAAUCCGACAAAUAAAGGUGAAAAAUACGAAAGAGACAGGUCAAAAGGGUAGUAGAGGGGAGGUUCUCCAUUUUAUUUUUUAUAGUAAAACAGUUGAUCCUUAAUCAGGCCAAAAUGGAGAAAUCAAUUAUAUUUGCAGAUAAAAAAAGGUAUUUUGCACAUGAAAGUGAUGAUCCAUUGCCUGGAUAUCUUCAAUCAUGAUCUUAAAUAAAGGGUAUAAUAAAUAGUAUUAGCAACUGAUCUGUGGCCUGUGGGACUCUUCUGCUUUUGUUAAACAACUUUUAAACAGUCGUCUUUUCAUAUAGCAACAUUUUUCAGAACUAAUCUUUAUGUCUUUAGUCAUCUUUAAGACUCGUCUUUUUUGUCUCUUUAUAUUUAUUUAUGCACCAACUCCCAAGCAUUUUAUGGUCUUUUUGACUCAGUCUCUUCCUUUGGACUGAAGCUUACUCCUCACUUGAUGCCAGCCUACCAUAGGUUUUACCUGCAGAGUAGAAGAACUCACCCCUAUAGAAAUCAAAUAUUUGAGGCUGAAAAUCGUUACAACUCUUAUUUUAGUUAGCGUAAUGUUGGCUUCUGCAUGGAACUGUGGCUCUCAUGAGCAAAUUUUCAAGGGUUUAAAAUCAUAGAAACAUUAUUAGUUAAUACUUGUGGCUUCUGGGUGAUCAAACCUGGCCAUUGAAACAAGAAAUUUUUGUUGCAGACAUAGGCAGCAAUUAGCUGUUCUGUCCACUUUGCGCCAAGCCUUUAUCUUUUGAGUGUUAAUUAUGGAAACAGGAACCAAUAUUAUUGCAUGUAAUGAAUGUUUUUUCAGAUUCAGUUUUUUUCAUUUAUUAGGUCUCUUCUAAACCUUUCAUUUCCAUUAGUUCUGCAUGAUAAUAGGAAGGUCCCCUCCACACUUCCCAGGACCACUGUCCCGUCAUCCAUUGUUUCUGAAGGCAAGUCUAUUAUUAUUGCUUCUCCAACUACCACCACUGUUUCACAAUUUACUUAAUAUUAAAAAAAAUCUGUAACUAA